rnacentral:rRNA from 1 species
GAUGAACGCUGGCGGCGUGCCUAAUACAUGCAAGUCGAGCGAACAGAUGAGGAGCUUGCUCCUCUGACGUUAGCGGCGGACGGGUGAGUAACACGUAGAUAACCUACCUAUAAGACUGGGAUAACUUCGGGAAACCGGAGCUAAUACCGGAUAAUAUAUUGAACCGCAUGGUUCAAUAGUGAAAGACGGUUUUGCUGUCACUUAUAGAUGGAUCCGCGCCGCAUUAGCUAGUUGGUAAGGUAACGGCUUACCAAGGCAACGAUGCGUAGCCGACCUGAGAGGGUGAUCGGCCACACUGGAACUGAGACACGGUCCAGACUCCUACGGGAGGCAGCAGUAGGGAAUCUUCCGCAAUGGGCGAAAGCCUGACGGAGCAACGCCGCGUGAGUGAUGAAGGUCUUCGGAUCGUAAAACUCUGUUAUUAGGGAAGAACAAAUGUGAAAGUAACUAUGCACGUCUUGACGGUACCUAAUCAGAAAGCCACGGCUAACUACGUG